rnacentral:tRNA from 1 species
GGGGGAUUAGCGCAAUGAUAGAGCAUCUGAUUUGCAUUCAGAAGGUUGAGAGUUUGAGUCUCUUAUCCUCCACCA